GUGCACGCGAGGGAGCACUCUCCCCUGAGUGCUCCCUCUUCAGCUCCCUCGCGUGCCAUCUUCCGGCUCUGGUAUCAGUGCGGUGCACGAGGGAGUUGAAGAGGGUGCACUCAGGGGAGAGUUCUCACUUGCGCGC